CUUCGGCCCGAGUUGUAAUUUGCAGAGGAUGUUUAUGGUGCGGUACCUUCCGAGUUCCCUGGAACGGGACGCCACAGAGGGUGAGAGCCCCGUCUGGUUGGAUACCAAACCUGUGUUAAACUCCUUCAACGAGUCGAGUAGUUUGGGAAUGCUGCUCUAAAUGGGAGGUAAAUCUCUUCUAAAGCUAAAUAUUGGCCAGAGACCGAUAGCGCACAAGUAGAGUGAUCGAAAGAUGAAAAGCACCUUGAAAAGGGGGUUAAACAGUACGUGAAAUUGUUGAAAGGGAAGCGUUUAUGACCAGACUUGUGCCGUGUGGCUCAUCCGAGGUUCUCCCCGGUGCACUCCACACGGCUCAGGCCAACAUCGGUUUUCGCUGGGGGAUAAGAACAGUAGGAACGUAGCUCCCCUCGGGGAGUGUUAUAGCCUAUUGUACGAUACCCUGGCGGGGACCGAGGACCGCGCUUCGGCUAGGAUGUUGGCGUAAUGGUCAUUAGCGACCCGUCUUGAAACACGGACCAAGGAGUCGUCCAUUAGAGCGAGCGUUUGGGUGUAAAACCCGCACGCGUAAUGAAAGUGAAAUUAGGUGAGAGCUUCGGCGCAUCAUCGACCGAUCCUGAAGUUUACGGAUGGAUUUGAGUAAGAGUUUUAACGGACGGACCCGAAAGACAGUGAACUAUGCUUGAAUAGGGUGAAGCCAGAGGAAACUCUGGUGGAGGCUCGCAGCGGUUCUGACGUGCAAAUCGAUCGUCAAAUUUGAGCAUGGGGGCGAAAGACUAAUCGA
rnacentral:rRNA from 1 species